rnacentral:lncRNA from 1 species
AUCUUAGUCUGACAUAUCCAACAUCCAAUGGAUUUAGUGUAAAGACUUAAUUAACAGUUAGAGAAAAACAUGACCGUGUGCAUUGCCAGAAUAUAGAUAUCGACAGAUUAGAGGAAACGCACGUAUGGCGAACAAAAUAUAUAAUAAUGGUGACUGAGGGCUUUUUUUUUAUAUUGUUUACAAUUUAACUUCGUAACACAAAUUAAGCAAGUUUACAUAAGCUAAACAGCUGACAUAAACAAAAUCUUCAAUUAUAUCAUAACCAUCACACAUCGUGUCGGCAAAAAAGAUUACAAUGAAACAAAGCACUUCAAUACGCGCACUAUUUUUACAAGUUGCAACGAAAUUUUUAAAACUACGCUGAUUUGUUAUGAAACAUUAAUACAGAGGACAGAAAACACGCGUUGCAAAAUCACGAUGUUUAAUAAAUAGAUUAAACAACAAAUUAACAUAAUCAUACCACAUGGAGGGUAGUGCCGUGACAUAUCGUCGCUGGGCUUCUAAAAUUUCGUAUAUGACUUUUUUUUUUGGCUAAAAAUACUUUUUGAAACCAAUGGUCUGGGCGGGGAGGAAAUCUUUGGUAUUACAAAAUAGCAUACAAUUAGACCAAUCAAAAUGUGUGAAAUAAGACAUAUUACAAAAUUGCCAAUGUCAGUUGUUUGUAAAGUUUGCUUCCAAAAUGUUGUAUGAAAACUUGAAAAUCGUUGUAGAAUGGCUUUGGGAAAAAAAUAAUUGUACAUUUC